rnacentral:tRNA from 1 species
GGAGAGGUGACAGAGCGGCCGAUUGUGCAUCCCUGGAAAGGAUGUGUACCGGAAACGGUACCGAGGGUUCGAAUCCCUCCCUCUCCGCCA